AUUGAACGCUGGCGGCAUGCUUUACACAUGCAAGUCGAACGGCAGCACGGGAGCUUGCUCCUGGUGGCGAGUGGCGAACGGGUGAGUAAUGCGUCGGAACGUGCCGAGUAAUGGGGGAUAACGCAGCGAAAGUUGUGCUAAUACCGCAUAAUCUCCGAGGAGGAAAGCGGGGGACCUUAGGGCCUCGCGUUAUUCGAGCGGCCGACGUCUGAUUAGCUAGUUGGCGGGGUAAGAGCCCACCAAGGCGACGAUCAGUAGCGGGCCUGAGAGGAUGAUCCGCCACACUGGGACUGAGACACGGCCCAGACUCCUACGGGAGGCAGCAGUGGGGAAUUUUGGACAAUGGGGGCAACCCUGAUCCAGCCAUGCCGCGUGUCUGAAGAAGGCCUUCGGGUUGUAAAGGACUUUUGUCAGGGAGGAAAACGCAUUCGCGAAUAACGGAUGUGGAUGACAGUACCUGAAGAAUAAGCACCGGCUAACUACGUGCCAGCCGCCGCGGUAAGAC
rnacentral:rRNA from 1 species